GAUCAAGCUGCUGAUAUGCCAGCCGGGGGAUGGCUCGGCUCGAGCGCUGAUGAAGGGCGUGCCAAGCUGCGAUAAGCCCCGGCGAGGCGCAUGGAGCCUUUGAACCGGGGAUGCCCUAAUGGGAAAUCCCAGCUUUAUGCUGAUCCGUGAGGAUCGGGAACGCCCCGGAUUGAAACAUCUUAGUAGGGGCAGGAGAAGAACUCAACCGAGAUGCCGUCAGUAACGGC
rnacentral:rRNA from 1 species